rnacentral:misc_RNA from 1 species
AAAUAACUAAAAAGUUCAACUAAAAAAAGGUGGGGUUCUAUCAUGGAUUUGAUCCUGAUUUAUGUAUGGAUAAUGGGUCAGGUAAGUCAUAAAUUAAAUUUAACAAUAACUGCAUAAUGGAUAGGGUUAGAGUAGACUUAGGUAGAUAUGAGUAUCCAUGUAACUUUCAAUUGGGCCAUGAAUGGGUAGAUGGAUCAUUUCCAUCCCACAAAUGUACACAAUCCUUUCCCACCCGUUUGCCACAUCUGGCUUCAGGUGUGAUUUGCUUCUCCUAGUUGAGGUGAUUUUGUAAAAAAUCUGAUG